rnacentral:lncRNA from 1 species
UGGUCUAUUGCUGGUCUAUUAACUGGAAUUUUCAUUUUCCAAGAGUUUAUAACUGGAAUUUUCAUCUUAUUUUGAUCAUCAUAUAUUUCUAACUUUCGCAUCUCCGUUCACUGUUAUCGUCACUUUACCCGUUUAACGUGCAGGUUAUUGAAGGAAAACUGAAGAACAGGACGUGCCCUGCAGAAGACCAUGAAAUGAGCG